rnacentral:rRNA from 1 species
CAGCAGCCGCACGGUAAUACGAAGGGUGCAAGCGUUACUCGGAAUUACUGGGCGUAAAGCGUGCGUAGGUGGUGGUUUAAGUCCGUUGUGAAAGCCCUGGGCUCAACCUGGGAAUUGCAGUGGAUACUGGGUCACUAGAGUGUGGUAGAGGAUAGUGGAAUUUCCGGUGUAGCAGUGAAAUGCGUAGAGAUCGGAAGGAACAUCUGUGGCGAAGGCGACUAUCUGGGCCAACACUGACACUGAGGCACGAAAGCGUGGGGAGCAAACAGGAUUAGAGACCCCCGUAGUCCCUGUCUCUUAUACA